UAGGGAAUCUUCCGCAAUGGACGCAAGUCUGACGGAGCAACGCCGCGUGAGUGAAGAAGGAUUUCGGUUCGUAAAACUCUGUUGUUAGAGAAGAACAGCGCAUAGAGUAACUGUUAUGCGUGUGACGGUAUCUAACCAGAAAGCCACGGCUAACUACGUGCCAGCAGCCGCGGUAAUACGUAGGUGGCAAGCGUUGUCCGGAUUUAUUGGGCGUAAAGCGAGCGCAGGCGGUUAGAAAAGUCUGAAGUGAAAGGCAGUGGCUCAACCAUUGUAGGCUUUGGAAACUGUUUAACUUGAGUGCAGAAGGGGAGAGAGGAAUUCCAUGUGUAGCGGUGAAAUGCGUAGAUAUAUGGAGGAACACCGGUGGCGAAAGCGGCUCUCUGGUCUGUAACUGACGCUGAGGCUCGAAAGCGUGGGGAGCGAACAGG
rnacentral:rRNA from 1 species